rnacentral:rRNA from 1 species
GACGAACGCUGGCGGCGUGCCUAAUACAUGCAAGUCGAGCGGACAGAUGGGAGCUUGCUCCCUGAUGUUAGCGGCGGACGGGUGAGUAACACGUGGGUAACCUGCCUGUAAGACUGGGAUAACUCCGGGAAACCGGGGCUAAUACCGGAUGGUUGUUUGAACCGCAUGGUUCAAACAUAAAAGGUGGCUUCGGCUACCACUUACAGAUGGACCCGCGGCGCAUUAGCUAGUUGGUGAGGUAAUGGCUCACCAAGGCAACGAUGCGUAGCCGACCUGAGAGGGUGAUCGGCCACACUGGGACUGAGACACGGCCCAGACUCCUACGGGAGGCAGCAGUAGGGAAUCUUCCGCAAUGGACGAAAGUCUGACGGAGCAACGCCGCGUGAGUGAUGAAGGUUUUCGGAUCGUAAAGCUCUGUUGUUAGGGAAGAACAAGUACCGUUCGAAUAGGGCGGUACCUUGACGGUACCUAACCAGAAAGCCACGGCUAACUAC